CCUACGGGAGGCAGCAGUGAGGAAUAUUGGUCAAUGGGCUUACGCCUGAACCAGCCAAGUCGCGUGAGGGAAGACUGCCCUAUGGGUUGUAAACCUCUUUUGUCAGGGAGCAACGCCGGCUACGUGUAGCCGGACUGAGAGUACCUGAAGAAAAAGCAGCGGCUAACUCCGUGCCAGCAGCCGCGGUAAUACGGAGGAUGCGAGCGUUAUCCGGAUUUAUGGGGUUGAAAGGGUGCGUAGGCGGAAUGCCAAGUCAGCGGUAAAAUCGCGGGGCUCAACCUCGCUCCGCCGUUGAAACUGGCGUUCUUGAGUGGGCGAGAAGUAUGCGGAAUGCGUGGUGUAGCGGUGAAAUGCAUAGAUAUCACGCAGAACUCCGAUUGCGAAGGCAGCAUACCGGCGCCCAACUGACGCUGAAGCACGAAAGCGUGGGUAUCGAACAGGAUUAGAUACCCUUGUAGUC
rnacentral:rRNA from 1 species